GUGGGGAAUAUUGGACAAUGGGCGAAAGCCUGAUCCAGCCAUGCCGCGUGUGUGAAGAAGGUCUUCGGAUUGUAAAGCACUUUAAGUUGGGAGGAAGGGCAGUAAGUUAAUACCUUGCUGUUUUGACGUUACCGACAGAAUAAGCACCGGCUAACUCUGUGCCAGCAGCCGCGGUAAUACAGAGGGUGCAAGCGUUAAUCGGAAUUACUGGGCGUAAAGCGCGCGUAGGUGGUUCGUUAAGUGUGAUGUGAAAGCCCCGGGCUGAACCUGGGAACUGCAUCCAAAACUGGCGAGCUAGAGUACGGUAGAGGGUGGUGGAAUUUCCUGUGUAGCGGUGAAAUGCGUAGAUAUAGGAAGGAACACCAGUGGCGAAGGCGACCACCUGGACUGAUACUGACACUGAGGUGCGAAAGCGUGGGGAGCAAACAGGAUUAGAAACCCCGGUAGUCC
rnacentral:rRNA from 1 species